AGAGUUUGAUCCUGGCUCAGGACGAACGCUGGCGGCGUGCUUAACACAUGCAAGUCGAACGGAAAGGCCCUUCGGGGUACUCGAGUGGCGAACGGGUGAGUAACACGUGGGUGAUCUGCCCUGCACUCUGGGAUAAGCCUGGGAAACUGGGUCUAAUACCGGAUAGGACCGCAUGCUUCAUGGUGUGUGGUGCAAAGCUUUUGCGGUGUGGGAUGAGCCCGCGGCCUAUCAGCUUGUUGGUGGGGUAAUGGCCUACCAAGGCGACGACGGGUAGCCGGCCUGAGAGGGUGACCGGCCACACUGGGACUGAGAUACGGCCCAGACUCCUACGGGAGGCAGCAGUGGGGAAUAUUGCACAAUGGGCGCAAGCCUGAUGCAGCGACGCCGCGUGAGGGAUGACGGCCUUCGGGUUGUAAACCUCUUUCAGUAGGGACGAAGCGAAAGUGACGGUACCUACAGAAGAAGGACCGGCCAACUACGUGCCAGCAGCCGCGGUAAUACGUAGGGUCCGAGCGUUGUCCGGAAUUACUGGGCGUAAAGAGCUCGUAGGUGGUUUGUCGCGUUGUUAGUGAAAACUCACAGCUUAACUGUGGGCGUGCGGGCGAUACGGGCAGACUAGAGUACUGCAGGGGAGACUGGAAUUCCUGGUGUAGCGGUGGAAUGCGCAGAUAUCAGGAGGAACACCGGUGGCGAAGGCGGGUCUCUGGGCAGUAACUGACGCUGAGGAGCGAAAGCGUGGGUAGCGAACAGGAUUAGAUACCCUGGUAGUCC
rnacentral:rRNA from 1 species